UGGGGAAUUGUUCACAAUGGGCGCAAGCCUGAUGACGCAACGCCGCGUGGGGGAUGAAGGUCUUCGGAUCGUAAACCCCUGUCGAAUGGGACGAAAGACUCGCGAGUGAAUACUUCGCGAGAGUGACGGUACCGUUAAAGGAAGCCACGGCUAACUCUGUGCCAGCAGCCGCGGUAAUACAGAGACCACAAGCGUUAUCCGGAAUUAUUGGGCGUAAAGGGUGAGUAGGUGGUAUUGUUAGUCGGGUUUGAAAGAUCGUGGGCUCAACCCAUGAUAUGGACCCGAAACGGCAAAACUAGAAUAUGUAAGAGGUUAGUGGAACUAUAUGUGUAGGGGUAAAAUCCGUUGAUAUAUAUGGGAACACCAGUGGCGAAGGCGACUUGCUGGACUUGUGGUGACGCUGAGACGCGAAAGCGUGGGGAGCAAACAGGAUUAGAUACCCUAGUAGUCCCUGAGCGGGCUGGCAAGGCGCAU
rnacentral:rRNA from 1 species